GGGCCCGUGGUCUAACUGGCAUGACGCCGCCCUUGCACGGCGGAGGCUGUGGGUUCGAAUCCCACCGGGUCCA
rnacentral:tRNA from 1 species